rnacentral:rRNA from 1 species
UACAGAGGGUGCAAGCGUUAAUCGGAAUUACUGGGCGUAAAGCGUGCGCAGACGGUUGCGUAAGUCAGAUGUGAAAGCCCCGGGCUCAACCUGGGAAUUGGCAUUUGAGACUGCGUAGCUAGGGUGCGGAAGAGGGAAGCGGAAUUUCCGGUGUAGCGGGUGAAAAUGCGUAGAUAUCGGAAGGAACACCAGUGGCGAAAAGCGGCUUCCUGGUCCAGCACCGACGUCAGGCACGAAAGCGUGGGGAGCAAACAGG